rnacentral:rRNA from 1 species
GAUGAACGCUGGCGGCGUGCCUAAUACAUGCCAGUCGAGCGAACAGACGAGGAGCUUGCUCCUCUGACGUUAGCGGCGGACGGGUGAGUAACACGUGGAUAACCUACCUAUAAGACUGGGAUAACUUCGGGAAACCGGAGCUAAUACCGGAUAACAUGUUGAACCGCAUGGUUCAACAGUGAAAGACGGUCUUGCUGUCACUUAUAGAUGGAUCCGCGCCGCAUUAGCUAGUUGGUAAGGUAACGGCUUACCAAGGCAAGGAUGCGUAGCCGACCUGAGAGGGUGAUCGGCCACACUGGAACUGAGACACGGUCCAGACUCCUACGGGAGGCAGCAGUAGGGAAUCUUCCGCAAUGGGCGAAAGCCUGACGGAGCAACGCCGCGUGAGUGAAGAAGGUCUUCGGAUCGUAAAACUCUGUUAUUAGGGAAGAACAAAUGUGUAAGUAACUAUGCACGUCUUGACGGUACCUAAUCAGAAAGCCACGGCUAACUACGUG